rnacentral:rRNA from 1 species
AGCGGCGGAUGGGUGAGUAACACGUGGGGAACCUGCCCCUAAGUCUGGGAUACCAUUUGGAAACAGGUGCUAAUACCGGAUAAUAAAGCAGAUCGCAUGAUCAGCUUUUGAAAGGCGGCGUAAGCUGUCGCUAAGGGAUGGCCCCGCGGUGCAUUAGCUAGUUGGUAAGGUAACGGCUUACCAAGGCGACGAUGCAUAGCCGAGUUGAGAGACUGAUCGGCCACAUUGGGACUGAGACACGGCCCAAACUCCUACGGGAGGCAGCAGUAGGGAAUCUUCCACAAUGGACGCAAGUCUGAUGGAGCAACGCCGCGUGAGUGAAGAAGGUUUUCGGAUCGUAAAGCUCUGUUGUUGGUGAAGAAGGAUAGAGGUAGUAACUGGCCUUUAUUUGACGGUAAUCAACCAGAAAGUCACGGCUAACUACGUGCCAGCAGCCGCGGUAAUACGUAGGUGGCAAGCGUUGUCCGGAUUUAUUGGGCGUAAAGCGAGCGCAGGCGGAAAAAUAAGUCUAAUGUGAAAGCCCUCGGCUUAACCGAGGAACUGCAUCGGAAACUGUUUUUCUUGAGUGCAGAAGAGGAGAGUGGAACUCCAUGUGUAGCGGUGGAAUGCGUAGAUAUAUGGAAGAACACCAGUGGCAAAGGCGGCUCUCUGGUCUGCAACUGACGCUGAGGCUCGAAAGCAUGGGUAGCGAACAGGAUUAGAUACCCUGGUAGUCCAUGCCGUAAACGAUGAGUGCUAAGUGU